UAUAGCCACCGCAUUUACUCUCCAAGACAAUCUCUUUGCAUUUGCUUCAUCUUUCUUUCUCUCCUCAAAAGCUUUGCCUACUCAUCGUCUUCUUCUUCAAUUUCUAUUUCUCAGUCUUUCAUCUUCAGGUUUUACUUUUCCGUCUUCAAUUAUUCUUCCUUUUCUUGGAAUAGGAAUAAAAAAUGGCUAGCAUCUUCAACAUCAACAAUCCAGUGGUUGAUUGCUGAAUGCAAGAUGUGUCAAGAUGAAGAAUAGGACUAAAAUUUGAAAACUUUUUUGUCUUGUGCAAGGUUUUAAGAGACUUACUAUUAUGGUCUCAUUUUUUUAAUGUAUAAUAUGCUAUCAAUUGGUGUUUUGGUUUUU